rnacentral:lncRNA from 1 species
GAGGCAGAGGACAGGCUGGGGUACCCUAACGGGUCCGCUCCUUCCCCCGCCCCAGGCACUGGGCCUCUUUGGUGGCACCCUGGGUGGCAGGCAAGCCUGGAAAUCAAGUGCACGGGACCUGGAAAGGAGAACCGGGAGAGUUAUGGGACUUAUGAAGGAAGAAGAGAAAGAGAAUCACUUGGAUGGGAAAAGUUAACUGGAUUGUUCCCACCUGCAUGGAUCAUCCAGGAUGAAGCUGUGCCACCCGGUAGGAAUUAGAAGAUCAUGUCCCAGAAGUGAACAUUGGGUGCAGACUUCUCAGGCACUGAGAUCUGUGGAGAGAAGCUGAAGCUCACACAGCUGGUAUGUGGUGGACCCAGAAUGGAAACCUGGUCUGGGCUCGCAAGUCUGCCUCCUCAGGCUGAACCUAAACUACUUAGGUCCUGAAUGGUAUCUUGUCCACCUCCUCCAGGGAAGGCAGGUUGUGGAAACAUCUUGGGCUGUCUGGGAACUCCCCAACCAGUCCUCAAAUCUGUAUAGAUCUUCUUGCUCUAUCUGGCUAGUGUGUAUAUGAUGGGGGCUGGGGGAGGAUAGCAUUGGAGGGCUCAACCUAGCACCUCGCACUUAAGUGUUCAGUGAACGUGUUUUGAAUGAAUGUAUGAAUU